rnacentral:rRNA from 1 species
UACGGAGGGAGCAAGCGUUGUCCGGAAUCAUUGGGCGUAAAGCGCGCGUAGGCGGCCCGAUAAGUCCGCUGUGAAAGUCAACGGCUCAACUGUUGGAUGCCGGUGGAUACUGUCGGGCUAGAGUACGGAAGAGGCAAGUGGAAUUCCUGGUGUAGCGGUGGAAUGCGCAGAUAUCAGGAGGAACACCUAUAGCGAAGGCAGCUUGCUGGGACGUUACUGACGCUAAGGCGCGAAAGCGUGGGGAGCGAACAGG